GGCUUUUGUUAUGUGAUAUUCUAAUUAGAACAAAAAGGUUUUGUUGAAAUCUUGAUUAAAUGUGACUUAUGGACUUGUCUGGAGAUGGCUUGAAAACAUGUUAGUUAAGAGACUUAUGGACUUGUUAAUCAUUUUCAAAUAGGAGGAGUUGCUGAGAGAAGAGAAUCUGGUUUUGGCUAGCCAGAUAGGGAAGACGAACGGAGGGAGACAGAACAAUUCACCGGCAAAUAGCUCCGGCAUCAAUCCUCCGGAGACUCUCCCGCUGCUAAAGUAACUAUCACGAUCCAACGGCUGAGUUAACUCAAAGCCUGAUUUAAAGUUAAAAAGCAGAUGUGUAAACUAUAAAAAGCUGCAUAAUCUCAAAACUCAUUUUAUCUUGCUGUAAUGCGGAAGUUUAGGUAAAAAACGGAGCUAUAGUUCUCUUGCUAAAAAAUAAUUAUUAUAAAAUUAAGAUAAAGUAUGGAACUUUGUUGUACCUUCA